rnacentral:rRNA from 1 species
AUUGAACGCUGGCGGCAUGCCUUACACAUGUAAGUCGAACGGCAGCACGGGAGCAAUCCUGGUGGCGAGAGGCGAACGGGUGAGUAACAUAUCGGAACGUGCCCAGUCGUGGGGGAUAACGUAGCGAAAGCUACGCUAAUACCGCAUACGAUCUAUGGAUGAAAGCGGGGGAUCGCAAGACCUCGCGCGCUUGGAGCGGCCGAUAUCAGAUUAGGUAGUUGGUGAGGUAAAGGCUCACCAAGCCGACGAUCUGUAGCUGGUCUGAGAGGACGACCAGCCACACUGGGACUGAGACACGGCCCAGACUCCUACGGGAGGCAGCAGUGGGGAAUUUUGGACAAUGGGCGCAAGCCUGAUCCAGCAAUGCCGCGUGCAGGAUGAAGGCCUUCGGGUUGUAAACUGCUUUUGUACGGAACGAAACGGUGAGCUCUAAUACAGUUUGCUAAUGACGGUACCGUAAGAAUAAGCACCGGCUAACUACGUGCCAGCCGCCGCAGUAA